rnacentral:pre_miRNA from 1 species
AAAGUACUCCCUCCGUCCCAAAAUUCUUGUCUUAGAUUUGUCUAGAUACGGAUGUAUCAAGUCACAUUUUAGUAUUAGAUACACCCGUAUCUAGACAAAUCUAAGACAAGAAAUUUGGGACAGAGGGAGUAGUUG